UACGUAGGGUGCGAGCGUUGUCCGGAUUUAUUGGGCGUAAAGAGCUCGUAGGCGGCUUGUCGCGUCGGAUGUGAAAGCCCGGGGCUUAACUCCGGGUCUGCAUUCGAUACGGGCAGGCUAGAGUGUGGUAGGGGAGACUGGAAUUCCUGGUGUAGCGGUGAAAUGCGCAGAUAUCAGGAGGAACACCGAUGGCGAAGGCAGGUCUCUGGGCCGAUACUGACGCUGAGGAGCGAAAGCGUGGGGAGCGAACAGG
rnacentral:rRNA from 1 species